CAGGGCCAAUCAUCAACACCAAAAUCUGGAAAGACAAGGACAUCCAGAGAGAUACAGCCACAGAGAUCCGCUUACUGGAACAGAAACAAAUGGACCCGCAAACUGAUCAACGGCACCCAGCAGCCAAUGGCUGAAAAUCUGGAACACUGCGAACUUCAGCGUCCCAACAGGGAUCAACCUACAAGCUUAGCCUUACCUGUUCCUGAUGUUAAUGGAGCUCACUUGCCAGUAAUUACCAAGAGACUGGUUCUGUCCUAGCCUCAUACCUUGCUCAAAGGGACAUUAUUCCUGUGGACACCAGUAUUUGGAAGUAUUUGAA